rnacentral:tRNA from 1 species
GGGCGAUUAGCUCAGUUGGGAGAGCGCAUGCCUUACACGCAUGAUGUCACAAGUUCAAGCCUUGUAUCGCCCACCA